GGGUCAGUAGGUUGGUCGUGCCACCGGUACGUACUGGUCUCACUGAUUCCUCCUUCCUGAAGAACCGUAAUGCCAUUAAUUUGGUGUUGCGGGGAAACAGGACUGUUACUUUGAAAAAAUUAGAGUGUUUAAAGCAGGCUAACGCUUGAAUACAUUAGCAUGGAAUAGUGAAAUAGGACGAUCGAUCCUAUUUUGUUGGUUUCUAGGAUUGACGUA
rnacentral:rRNA from 1 species